ensembl:lncRNA
GCGGGCCCGGGGGAGCGGCGCGCGGCCCGCAAACGGCCGGGCCCUGUGGGGGGUGGAGCGGGGAGCGGGGCCGGGCGCAGCGGGAGCCGCGUCGGGAGCGGCCGAGGCCUCGCAGCGCCUCAGCGUGCGGAGCCCCGUGGCGGAGCGCUGCGGGGCCGCGGUGAGCCGAGGCUCGCGACGCCGCGUUCCGGCGGCGGGGGAGCCCGGGUGGGAAACGGAGGCAGCUCUGCAGCAGGGCGCCCGGCCCUGACCCGAGGGCGGCCCCGGUUAUCUGCCCCAGCGCUCCCUUCAGCGCUGUGUGAUAAAUUCCGAGCUGAGGAGGCAGGCCCUCAGCACACUGUUCAGAAAUGUAGCACUAGAGAUUCCAAUUCACAUCUACUAGGAAAUCAGCUAAAGAAACAACCUGUCCUAUGCUGCAUGAAUGGUUGUUGCACCUCAGCAGAAGCUGCACCUAUAUUGUGUGUCUCAAUAUCUGCGUCUGGCCUCUUCUGUUACUUGCAUUUCUACUUGCCUUUGGGCACUGUCUUAUGAUUUAAAAACUCAGUUUUCCUUGGCUUCAGAGAUAACAUCCUGGCCUUUCGUGCAGAGUGGAGACAAGCACAGGAGAUGAAAGCGUCAGCACUGAUGCAUCAGACUUACACUUCAGGAUUGGUGCAGUCCCUCUGUGGGAUUCUGAGUGCUUGGAAUAAAAUUGAAGAAUGGAAAGAAGAUGGAGUCUACUACACCACCACCACAGAGCAUAUAGUCAUGUGUUCUCACUCAAGGAUGCAGUUCACUCUCUCUCCAGCAAAUCUUUUAACACAGAAACAUUUGUUCAGCUUCCAAAGGAUGGUAGGAUGAGCUAGUGUGGCGCCAGGACGCAGAUCAGAUCUCAGUAGGACAAAGCUCCUUGAUUUAAAUGCUGGGAAUGCUUGUCACCAGAACUUCUAGUAUGUAGCAACAGCGCUUAAACAAAUCAACGGAUGAGCAUUUUCAGAGUAGUGGUGUCUUUUAAUUUCUUUGGCUUAUCACAUCAAUUCUGUAUAAACUGAAGAGAAUGUAUAAAUUUGGCCUCUCAAAUAUUUUAGUGUUUAACUUUAAUUCGAUUAAACACUUAUGUAUGUGUACAAAGUGAAAAAUGAGGUUACUAGAGGUUAAUGCUUUAAUGCUUUUAAUAACUCUUAACCACAUGGCUGUAUUUUGUCAAACAGAACAUGGAUUUGUUCUAGCAGGAAAAGUAUAUGCUAGAUAGGAGAUACUAAAGCCCUCCAAAACAGCAAAGCUGCUACAUAACCAAAAAUAUUUCUAGGCCAUCUUGGAAAAAUCAUAACUAGUAUUUCUGUGAUAAAAUAGAUAACAUUUCUGAGUAUAGUUCAUUAGGAGACUCCUGCUCACAGUAGGAGAAUCAAAAAGCGAAAGACUCUAGACAGACCAGAAGCACAGAAAGAGUGAUUAAAGGGACUGAUAUUAGACAGCACAGAAUCCUCAGCACAACAUAAUGUCUAAAUCUGGGGUGAGUUCAGGCAUUGGUCCUGAGGAUGUUAAAACAAUUUGCACUAGGUAAUGCCCUUAAGUUACCCAGAAACUGGCAAUGGAGUAAAUGAUAGAUAAAAAUGCACAGAGGAAGUGACCAGUAGGAAAAGGCAACAUCUGUGACAGGGAUUCAGGGGCAUCUAAAUGCUGGAAAUAUAUAAAUAAAAGACAUUUUUUUUUAGGAGAAUUCUUUAGUUUGGGGUAAAAUCAUGUUAGUCAUGACUGUGACCAUCACGGUUCAACAAAUGUUGGCCAAGUCUCUGAAAGCACAAGUCACGUAGUAAUGCAGCAGAGACUGGCUUUUCCAAAGCUAAAAGUGAUAUUCCUCAUGUCCUUCUUUGACAAAUUUGGUGUCUAACUGUCACAUAAUUCAGCAGUUACACACUCCAACACUUUCAUUGUUUGCUUUUAAAAGUAAGCGAUGUUGUUAACAUAUUAAUCAUCAUCUACUGUCACAGCUUCACCAGUAUUGCUCUCAACAAAAUCUGUAGCACAGCAACUCAUAGACCAGGAGGCCAAGUAAAUCCUCUUUUUGUACUUCCUAGCUUAUACUUCAAGGUGGAUUACUGUUGUGUAAAGCGGACAUUCUGUGGUGGCAAGAUAUUACUACGAAGCUCGGUCUCAUAGUUCAUCUUUAUUUUCCUGCUUUGAUAAAUCUGAAGAGUCACCUAUUGCACCACAGUAUUUACGUUUAUGAGUCUAAUAUUCUUUUUACUAUUAAAACAAAUGUCCAUCAGAUGGAAUGCAGCUUGGAAGAAAGGGAAAACAUUAUCAUCGAUAAACUGAUAUAACCAACUAUUUUACUCUCUCAGAUGCAAGACUCCUCCGCUGACUAAUGGAUUCCACCAUAAUUAUGUUGUAAUGCUGAGUGGCAAGAUACUGUCCUUUAUGCAAAUCAGGUCCAGGACUUGGCUUCUCUUUGCUGACCUACAAAGAUUUGCAAUGACUUAAGAAUCUCAAUGUGUAAAGUUAAAUUUGAAAGUGUUCUCUUUGAACUAUAAAUUCUGAGAUCAUUGCAGGACACUGUAAUUGACUUUUGGUUGUUAUUUUAUUUCGCAUUGUGCCUUACUGAAUACUGUUGCACUAAAGUUUUGCAUACAAAAUAUUUGUGAAUGUGCUGAAUACAAAAAAGGACAAAUUCUUACUACUGUAGCUUCUGGACCUGAUAUUAUCUUGAAGUGUGUGAUCCCACAAUCAGAGCUACCACAUACAACAGAUACACAUCCUAUUCAAAUUAAAUCUUUCCCUCUGUUGAGAGCCAGAAGGGUAAGAUAACACUGACAUCCCAAAAAGGUUAAUCGUGAGGCUUUGCACUGUUUUUCAGCCAGGACUGAGGUUCAUUCAUGCCAUGCGGGAAAUUGUAACAGUGCCAGAACCACAGCACAUUUCAAAUAUUAAUAAAUAAUCCAGAACAAAGGGCAAACAGAAAGCUUGCAGGUUUUUCAUUAUUUUUUCAAUAAAUUCUAAAUGAAAGUAGCUCUUAGAACACUGAUACCAUUAUUGGUAUUAGUCUGCCAGUGUAUUUUUUACCUCUAAAUGAUUUUAUUUGUAAAGUAAACUCAAACUUUUGUAAACUCAAGUAAAGCCUGAGUUUGAGCAUUUUAGUACAUAAGCUUUUUGUUCAUAUUCUUCUUAAUAUCAUUCAGAACAAUUUACAAGCAGGUGAGACUUAAUCCUAUAAUGAAAAUAAUCUACAUUUCAACAUAACCUUUAACUCACAUAUAACAACAAACACUGUAAUUAGCAAUUAGUUUUCCAAAGUAUCUCAGUUGUUUAGUAUUUGACUCUUGCUUUCAUCAGUUAAUGAUUUACAGUAAUGAACUGGAACAUCAGUGUUUUGCACUGAAAUGGCCAAAAUAGUUGUCCA